UGGGGAAUUUUGGACGAAUUGGGCGAAAGCCUGAAUCCAGCAAUGCCGCGUGUGUGAAGAAGGCCUUCGGGUUGUAAAGCACUUUUGUCCGGAAAGAAAUCCUUGGCUCUAAUACAGUCGGGGGAUGACGGUACCGGAAGAAUAAGCACCGGCUAACUACGUGCCAGCAGCCGCGGUAAUACGUAGGGUGCAAGCGUUAAUCGGAAUUACUGGGCGUAAAGCGUGCGCAGGCGGUUUGCUAAGACCGAUGUGAAAUCCCCGGGCUCAACCUGGGAACUGCAUUGGUGACUGGCAGGCUAGAGUAUGGCAGAGGGGGGUGAGAAUUCCACGUGUAGCAGUGAAAUGCGUAGAGAUGUGGAGGAAUACCGAUGGCGAAGGCAGCCCCCUGGCAAGUACUGACGCUCAUGCACGAAAGCGU
rnacentral:rRNA from 1 species